AAGUAAUAUCUUAAAAAAAAACAUCUCUGUUUGCCUCCAAGAAAAAGAAAAGAAAAAGGAAAACACCUAUGAGAUGGUUUGACAUGUUCAAAUGGAGACCUAAGGAUGUUGGGCAUAAUUUUAAGAACGUGAGUUUGGAAGAGGCACCAUACUAAUCUAAAGGGUUAAGAAGUCGAGCUAACCGACGUUAAACAAAGCGCUGCAUGGGAGGCAACCCAUGAGUUUUCUUUAAUUCUUGUUUUAUUUUUGCUUUCUUUUAUUUUUGAUUUUUUUUUAUGACUANNNNNNNUGAUGAUCCUGUGACUAAUAGAGCUCCCACGCACAUUUCUCAAAAUGUUGCCGCUGGUGGGGGCGCCAACAUCGUUCCACCUGCACACACUACACAUUUUUCUAACACUUUUGCAGGCAGUUCUUCCUUAUCAAGAUAGAGUACCGUCGAUGAUGUGUUCUAUGAAAUGCGCGCUCUAAAUGCUAUCAACGAGGAGCGCGAUGGACUCUUUUAUGCGAUGCAUCAGCAACAAGAGGAGAUGUUGGAACGAAUGGAAUUCUUGCAAGCCCAAUAAGCACAAAUUCUUCAAAGCCAACAU
rnacentral:lncRNA from 1 species